UACGUAGGUGGCAAGCGUUGUCCGGAAUUAUUGGGCGUAAAGCGCGCGCAGGCGGUCCUUUAAGUCUGAUGUGAAAGCCCACGGCUCAACCGUGGAGGGUCAUUGGAAACUGGAGGACUUGAGUACAGAAGAGGAAAGCGGAAUUCCACGUGUAGCGGUGAAAUGCGUAGAGAUGUGGAGGAACACCAGUGGCGAAGGCGACUUUCUGGCCUAUAACUGACGCUGAGGCGCGAAAGCGUGGGGAGCAAACAGG
rnacentral:rRNA from 1 species